UACGUAGGGUCCGAGCGUUGUCCGGAAUCAUUGGGCGUAAAGCGCGUGUAGGCGGUCCGGUAAGUCCGCUGUGAAAGUCGGGGGCUCAACCCUCGAAUGCCGGUGGAUACUGUCGGGCUAGAGUGCGGAAGAGGCGAGUGGAAUUCCUGGUGUAGCGGUGAAAUGCGCAGAUAUCGAGAGGAACACCUGCGGCGAAGGCGGGUUGCUGGGCUGACACUGACGCUGAGGCGCGAAAGCUAGGGGAGCGAACGGG
rnacentral:rRNA from 1 species